rnacentral:lncRNA from 1 species
CUUACUUUAGCCACAGCCCUGGGCCCUUACUCCAACAACUGUCUUCUUCUCUGUUCAGAUGCAGAUAAAGCUGACAUCAUGUGGACCUCACCACUCCUUUCUACCCUGAAGAAAGUAGACAUCUGGUCCCAAGCCCGCAAGGAGGAAGCUGAACUACAGGGACAGAUGCGUCACCAGCUAGCCCCCAAAAGCUCUUUGCAGGAUGUCCCAAAACCUCAGAUAAUGCAGAAGGAAGAGCUUAUCAUUGUGCAACCCACAGAUCUUUCUGCCAGGGAGUUUGUGGUUUACCAGUAUGGCCUCUCUGUCCUGCACCUCCUCAUCCCCCAGCUGCAUGUAAGUCUGGGUUCUGGCCUCUCUGUGGAGCAGUCGUCUUGCAGCCAAGAAGGUUAAGGUGACCAGGAAGGAGGCUUUCAGGUGGUGAUACGUGUUGGGAUUAAGCAGCUGGAAUUGGGAAUUUAC